rnacentral:rRNA from 1 species
CCACGCGAGUGGAUGCCAAUCCCUAAAACCCCUCUCAGUUCGGACUGGAGUCUGCAACCCGACUCCACGAAGCUGGAUUCGCUAGUAAUCGCGCAUCAGCCACGGCGCGGUGAAUACGUUCCCGGGCCUUGUACACACCGCCCGUCAAGCCAUGGGAGCCGGGGGUACCUGAAGUGCGUAACCGCGAGGAUCGCCCUAGGGUAAAACUGGUGACUGGGGCUAAGUCGUAACAAGGUACC